rnacentral:lncRNA from 1 species
AAUAUUUAUCGAAAUUUAAAUAUUUUUAGGUUAAAAUGUUCAAAAAACUAAUUUAGAAUAGUCUACAUAAUUUUUUUUAAAGUUAAUUUUUUAAAAAUUAGCCUAAAUUCAUUCUUUAAUAAUCUGAAGUUAAAAUUUUAAACCAUAAUGGUUGAAGCGGAAAAAUUAUUUUCAAAUUAAAACCUAAAUUUUCUGAGCUAAAAAUUUUAAGUUUUAAGCUAAGGGUUGAAGAUGAUCAUAGUAACUUGUCAAAUAUCUGGAAGAAAUAUUUUGGCAUCUACACAUUCUGCAUGCGUGAUUCAUCGUAUAAAUUCAUUAAAUCCUGGAAAUUAUAAUCUGGCUAGGAUAGGGACCCCAAAGAGUUCACAUGCCCCCUGUACUCUGGUGUCCUCCCCUCCUUUCCAACUGUCCUAUCUCUCCUCAUUAGGCCCCUCAAUGAUUAGCAAUGUUAAACCUACUUUCAAUAGUUAUCCCCUCUAGCUAUACACCUCCAAAGGGAGAGCAUCUAACUAUCUUAAAAACUUUACAAGGGUCAGCUGGGCAAGUUUUUUUUGAGGUUGUUGAGAAGAGUUAAAACAUGAUAGUACGAAAGGAGAGCAUUGUGCCAUCUAACUAUCUUGAAAGGGACAUACUAGGCAGUUUCAUUUUGUGGGUCUGGGACGAGAUUCUAAAGUUGCAUUAUUUCAAGCUAAUCGUGUAGUCAUGUGAACAAAUUAAAAGGACAUUUUAUACAGUUCAAGGGGGGACUUUCUUGGUCGCCUCAUUCAAAGAGGCGAUAAAAAAGAAAUGACUCACAUCCUCCACUUUUUGUUCAUUUGUGCAUAUGCAUAUUUUUCUCCUUAAUGAUUUUAGAUUUUUUUUUUUGAAAAGCGUAGAAUCGGGAAAAAGAGGAGUUCAUUCUCAUCAAUUCACUAAGUGACUGAUUUGUGAAACUUUAUACUAAUGUUCGGAAUUGUUCAUUUAUGAAGCAUUUUGUAAAUAACAUUUCUGCAAAAAAAAAAAUGAGACUAUUUAGUCAACGAAUUGUUAAAAAAAAUGUACGGAUUCGGUAAAAGUAUUAAAAACCGUCUAUAUAUUUGGUAGAAUUGAUUGACUAAACACCAUUUGUUUUAAUUUAUUUU